UAAAUAUGCAAAUUAUGAUUCAUGAUGGC
rnacentral:piRNA from 1 species